rnacentral:lncRNA from 1 species
AUUUUAUGCAUUUAUUCGUAAAUUAUGGAAGAUGAAAACUAAAGUGGGAAAGCACCAAGAAGAGGGUCAUCUCUCUCUCCUGGGACAGGAACACGAGCUCGAGUUAUAUAUUCUGUGGAGAGAAAGCAAGAGUAAAAACAAUAAACGUCCUGAAUAUACUUUCCAUUAAGUUUUUCUUCCCCCCUUGGAAGAUGAAUUGCAUUUUAUCAGUUAUCUCAGAGAAGCACUUUGAAAUGAAGUAAGGAAAUAAACAUGGCUCUACAUUUUUAAACAGAUGAUUUGUUACCAGACUAUGACCAUAAUGGAAAAAAAGCCAACUCCCUUGAGGUUUCUGAUGCCAAGGCAU